rnacentral:rRNA from 1 species
CGGCAGAGAAUGAGUGCUAGUGUUAGGGGGUUUCCGCCCCUUAGUGCUGCAGCUAACGCAUUAAGCACUCCGCCUGGGGAGUACGACCGCAAGGUUGAAACUCAAAGGAAUUGACGGGGACCCGCACAAGCGGUGGAGCAUGUGGUUUAAUUCGAAGCAACGCGAAGAACCUUACCAAAUCUUGACAUCCUUUGACAACUCUAGAGAUAGAGCCUUCCCCUUCGGGGGACAAAGUGACAGGUGGUGCAUGGUUGUCGUCAGCUCGUGUCGUGAGAUGUUGGGUUAAGUCCCGCAACGAGCGCAACCCUUAAGCUUAGUUGCCAUCAUUAAGUUGGGCACUCUAAGUUGACUGCCGGUGACAAACCGGAGGAAGGUGGGGAUGACGUCAAAUCAUCAUGCCCCUUAUGAUUUGGGCUACACACGUGCUACAAUGGACAAUACAAAGGGCAGCGAAACCGCGAGGUCAAGCAAAUCCCAUAAAGUUGUUCUCAGUUCGGAUUGUAGUCUGCAACUCGACUACAUGAAGCUGGAAUCGCUAGUAAUCGUAGAUCAGCAUGCUACGGUGAAUACGUUCCCGGGUCUUGUACACACCGCCCGUCACACCACGAGAGUUUGUAACACCCGAAGCCGGUGGAGUAACCUUUUAGGAGCUAGCCGUCGAAGGUGGGACAAAUGAUUGGGGUGAAGUCGUAACAGGGGAAACCCGGAAAAAAAAUUUUGGGCCCGGGAGAGUACCCCCAGUGCCAUGGUGCCCCCCCGAAUUUGCGGCAGUCCCCCCUGGGGGUUCCUUUCCUACGCCCCCCCCCCCUUAAUCCGCCCCCCUUCGGGCCCAUAACGCUCCCCCCCCCCGUGCCUCGUACGGGCCCCCCGCCACUACCGUCCCGCCCCCCCCCGCCGCUGCGCCAAGGGGGGCGAUUCAACGUAGAGCGUCUAAAAAAAAUCGCCCCGAAAAAGACGGUAGUACACCGCCAACAAGAAUUUUCGGGGAAAAACAGCCUGGGCUAAGUCAUCGGUGAUCCCCCGCGGGCUGGUUUUGGUCGACGAGAGAACU